rnacentral:pre_miRNA from 1 species
UAACUACUCCCUCCGUACGAAAAUACUUGUCCUAAAAUAGAUAAAUCUAGAUUUGUUUUAGUUAUAGCUAUAUUCAUUAUAUUCAUUUUAGGACAAAUAUUUCCGGACGAAGGGAGUACUGG